GGGGGCAUAGCUCAGUGGUGGAGUGCGUACUUGGUGUGCACAAGGUCCUGGGUUCAAUCUCCAGUGCCUCUG
rnacentral:tRNA from 1 species